UACGUAGGGGGCUAGCGUUGUCCGGAAUCAUUGGGCGUAAAGAGCGUGUAGGCGGCCCGGUAAGUCCGCUGUGAAAGUCCAGGGCUCAACCCUGGAAUGCCGGUGGAUACUGUCGGGCUAGAGUCCGGAAGGGGCGAGUGGAAUUCCUGGUGUAGCGGUGAAAUGCGCAGAUAUCAGGAGGAACACCAAUGGCGAAGGCAGCUCGCUGGGACGUGACUGACGCUGAGACGCGAAAGCGUGGGGAGCAAACAGG
rnacentral:rRNA from 1 species